GACAGAGGGUGCAAACGUUGUUCGGAAUUACUGGGCGUAAAGCGCGUGUAGGCGGCUAAGUAAGUCGGGCGUGAAAUCCCACGGCUCAACCGUGGAAGUGCACUCGAAACUGCAUAGCUAGAGUCCUGGAGAGGAAGGUGUAAUGCUUGGUGUAGAGGUGAAAUUCGUAGAUAUCAAGCGGAACACCGGUGGCGAAGGCGGCCUUCUGGACAGUGACUGACGCUGAGACGCGAAAGCGUGGGGAGCAAACAGG
rnacentral:rRNA from 1 species